rnacentral:misc_RNA from 1 species
GAUGAAGAACGUAGCGAAAUGCGAUAAGUAAUGUGAAUUGCAGAAUUCAGUGAAUCAUCGAAUCUUUGAACGCACAUUGCGCCCGCCAGUAUUCUGGCGGGCAUGCCUGUUCGAGCGUCAUUUCAACCAUCAAGCCCUGCUUGCGUUGGGGUCCUGCGGCUGCCCGCAGGCCCUGAAAACCAGUGGCGGGCUCGCUAGUCACACCGAGCGCAGUAAUACAUCUCGCUUUGGGCGUGCGGCGGGUUCUUGCCGUUAAACACCCCCAUUUUACCAAGGUUGACCUCGGAUCAGGUAGGAAUACCCGCUGAACUUAAGCAUAUCAAUAAGCGGAGGA